CGGCGGACGGGUGAGUAAUGCUUAGGAAUCUGCCUAUUAGUGGGGGACAACAUCUCGAAAGGGAUGCUAAUACCGCAUACGUCCUACGGGAGAAAGCAGGGGACCUUCGGGCCUUGCGCUAAUAGAUGAGCCUAAGUCGGAUUAGCUAGUUGGUGGGGUAAAGGCCUACCAAGGCGACGAUCUGUAGCGGGUCUGAGAGGAUGAUCCGCCACACUGGGACUGAGACACGGCCCAGACUCCUACGGGAGGCAGCAGUGGGGAAUAUUGGACAAUGGGGGGAACCCUGAUCCAGCCAUGCCGCGUGUGUGAAGAAGGCCUUUUGGUUGUAAAGCACUUUAAGCGAGGAGGAGGCUACCGAGAUUAAUACUCUUGGAUAGUGGACGUUACUCGCAGAAUAAGCACCGGCUAACUCUGUGCCAGCAGCCGCGGUAAUACAGAGGGUGCAAGCGUUAAUCGGAUUUACUGGGCGUAAAGCGCGCGUAGGUGGCCAAUUAAGUCAAAUGUGAAAUCCCCGAGCUUAACUUGGGAAUUGCAUUCGAUACUGGUUGGCUAGAGUAUGGGAGAGGAUGGUAGAAUUCCAGGUGUAGCGGUGAAAUGCGUAGAGAUCUGGAGGAAUACCGAUGGCGAAGGCAGCCAUCUGGCCUAAUACUGACACUGAGGUGCGAAAGCAUGGGGAGCAAACAGGAUUAGAUACCCUGGUAGUCCAUGCCGUAAACGAUGUCUACUAGCCGUUGGGGCCUUUGAGGCUUUAGUGGCGCAGCUAACGCGAUAAGUAGACCGCCUG
rnacentral:rRNA from 1 species